rnacentral:misc_RNA from 1 species
AUGGAACACAGGGUCCCCAGAGGAGCU